rnacentral:rRNA from 1 species
AGUUGCCAUCAUUCAGUUGGGCACUCUAGCGAGACUGCCGGUAAUAAACCGGAGGAAGGUGGGGAUGACGUCAAAUCAUCAUGCCCCUUAUGACCUGGGCUACACACGUGCUACAAUGGUUGGUACAACGAGUUGCGAGUCGGUGACGGCGAGCUAAUCUCUUAAAGCCAAUCUCAGUUCGGAUUGUAGGCUGCAACUCGCCUACAUGAAGUCGGAAUCGCUAGUAAUCGCGGAUCAGCACGCCGCGGUGAAUACGGUUCCCGGGCCUU